UGGGAAUUUGGACAAUGGGCGAAAGCCUGAUCCAGCAAUGCCGCGUGUGUGAAGAAGGCCUUCGGGUUGUAAAGCACUUUUGUCCGGAAAGAAAUCCUUGGCUCUAAUACAGUCGGGGGAUGACGGUACCGGAAGAAUAAGCACCGGCUAACUACGUGCCAGCAGCCGCGGUAAUACGUAGGGUGCAAGCGUUAAUCGGAAUUACUGGGCGUAAAGCGUGCGCAGGCGGUUUGCUAAGACCGAUGUGAAAUCCCCGGGCUCAACCUGGGAACUGCAUUGGUGACCGGCAGGCUAGAGUAUGGCAGAGGGGGGUAGGAAUUCCACGUGUAGCAGUGAAAUGCGUAGAGAUGUGGAGGAAUACCGAUGGCGAAGGCAGCCCCCUGGGCCAAUACUGACGC
rnacentral:rRNA from 1 species